UUGGAGGAAAGCAGGGGAUCGCAAGACCUCGCGCUAUUGGAGUGGCCGAUGUCCGAUUAGCUAGUUGGUGGGGUAAUGGCCUACCAAGGCGACGAUCGGUAGCUGGUCUGAGAGGAUGAUCAGCCACACUGGGACUGAGACACGGCCCAGACUCCUACGGGAGGCAGCAGUGGGGAAUUUUGGACAAUGGGCGCAAGCCUGAUCCAGCCAUGCCGCGUGAGUGAAGAAGGCCUUCGGGUUGUAAAGCUCUUUCAGCCGGAACGAAAUCGUCCGGGCUAAUACCCCGGAUGGAUGACGGUACCGGAAGAAGAAGCACCGGCUAACUACGUGCCAGCAGCCGCGGUAAUACGUAGGGUGCAGGCGUUAAUCGGAAUUACUGGGCGUAAAGCGUGCGCAGGCGGCUUCCUAAGUCAGAUGUGAAAUCCCCGGGCUCAACCUGGGAACUGCGUUUGAAACUACAAAGCUAGA
rnacentral:rRNA from 1 species